ACGAUCUGGACGUCGGCGUAACCGUUCUUGAGGUAGAACCUGCGCAGGAUGUCGCGAUCGGCCUCGAUGCGGUCCGGAUCGUAGACGUCGUUGCCGCCGAGGAAGCUGAGGAAAUUGCUUUCGCGGGUCUUGAUCACGUCCCGCAGGCGGUAGCCCGAAUAAGCCUGGUUGCCGAUGAACUCGAUCGACUUGACGCCCGUCUUCGCGCCUUCGGUGAUUUCGAAGACCAGAUC
rnacentral:misc_RNA from 1 species